GCUUUCAAAGCAGAGACUUGUCUAGCCCUUUUACUGUUUGCAGAAAAUUCGAGGGUGUUGAGAUAAUCGGGAACUUUUCCUUUACCGAGUUUGUUUAUAAAUUUGUCCAAUGAAAAGAGAAGUGUGGCUGGAGGUAAAAUUAGACUCUGUUGGAACUUCUGUUCAAAUACCUCUUUCCUUGUUUUUUUCCUCUUCGGGAUCCUGGUCACAGGACGGGAAGCCUGUUUCUCUCUUUGCUGUCAUACUCGCUCUUAGUAAAACGAGGACUCGUGGCAGCAUUGUGAACAGUGGAGUUCCACGAUCUGACUUCCAGUUUUACAAAGACUCCCCUGGCCACUGUGCUGAGAGCAGACAUUGGGGAAGGGGGAAGCAGGAGAGUCCGGCUAAAAGGCCGGUGCCGUCACUGCGGGAGAGGCGAUGGUGGGGUUUUGGACAAAAGCAGCAGAGGAGGUACUAACAAGUAUUGUGACCCGGAUAGAUUUUGACAGCAGAGCCUACAGGAUUUCCUGACAAUGUAGAUGUGGCUUGUGAAAGAAAGAGAGGAGUCAAGGAUCAAUACAAGUGUUUGGCCCAAGCCACUGAAGGAAGGAGGUGCCAUCAAUGAAGAUGGGGAAGAAUGAGGUUAAGCCUCUGAAGGAAGGUCAACAGGUCAGUUUCGGAAAUGAUGAGCUCGGGGUGCCUGUUACACAUUUGUAUUUUCUUAGUUACUCCUCCCUCCCUCCCUCCCUCCCUUCCUUCCUUCCUUCCUCUCUGUUUCUCUCCCUCUCUCUCUCCCUCCCUCCCCUCCUCUCUCUCUUCCUCUCCCUCUUUUUCUUUCUUUUGCCCUGCCCUUUCCCUGUGUAACAAAUUACCAGAAGUGGAGUGGAUUCAAAUAACACCCACUUAGAGUUCUGUAGGUCAGAAGUCAGGCUGUGCAUGGCUGGAUUCUUGGUUCAGGGUUUCAUAAGGCUACAAUCAAGGUGUCGGGAAGGCUGAAUUCUUGUCUGAAAGCUCUGGGGAAAAAUCCACUUCUAGGUCCAUUUAAGUUGUUGGCAGAACUCGGUUUCUUGUGGUGCUAGGACUCAGGUCCCCGUUCUCCUGCUGUCUGUCAGGUGGGAGCUGCUCUCAGCAACUCGAGGCCACCCUGAGGUCUUUGCUCUAUGGCCUUCUCCUCCCUCAGCAAAGGAAAAUUUCCCUCCUGUUGAAUUCCUCUCAUGCUUCAAUUUUCUCACUUCCUUUUCUGAGACCAGCUGGAGAAAGCUCUCUGCUUUUUUUUUAAAGCUCUCUGCUUUUAUUUAUUUAUUUAUUAUUAUUUUCCACAUUUUCUUACUGGGCUUGACAUUCGCCUCGUGCAAUUUUAUUGAAGUAUAGUUAACAUAAUAUUUUUAAAUAUUUAAGUAAAUGAUUUGACAUUUUGAUAUACUUCUGUAUUGUGUAAAGCUCUCUGCUUUUAUUUAUUUAUUUAUUUAUUUAUUUAUUUAUUUAUUUAUUUUUAAGCUCUCUGCUUUUAAAGGGCUCAUGUGAUUAGGUCAGGCCCACCUGGAUAUCUCCCACCCCCAUCUUUAAAAAAAAAAAUUAUUCACAAUUUGCCUGAACUUUAAGUAUCAAGCAACCUGAAAAGGAGCUAUGUAUAACAAACUAUUACUAGAAAACAUAAGUAACUGUUUAAAAAAGAGUAGAUGAUUAGAUUAAAGUAUAGGUAACAGCAAAUGCUUAACCAUCCUAUAUUAUUUCUGCCUUUUUCUGGAAAUAUUAUUUUAUUUAAUAUAACAUAUAAUAUCAUAUUAGUUUAAGAUAUUCAACAUAAUGAUUUGAUAUUUGUAUACACUGAGAAUGAUUAAGGCAGUAAAUCUGGUUAGUUUUUUGUUUUUAAAUUUAGGAUGAGGAUUUUCAAGAUCUACUCUCUUAGCAACUUUCAAAUAUGUAAUACAAUGUUACUGACUGUAGUCAGCAUGUUGUACAUUAUACCCCCCCCCCCCCCCCCCCCCCCCCCGCCCCCCUCCGCCCUCCCCCCCACCGUGAUUUAUUUAUCUUACAACUGGGAGUCUGUAACUCUUGUUCCCCUUCACCCAUUUCACCCACCUCCUUAUUCUCCUCCCCUCUGGCAACCACCAGUCUGCUGUCUGUUAUCUAUGAGUGCUUGUUUUGUUUUGUUUCUUUUUUUAGAUUCUGCAUAUAAGUGAAAUCAUAUGGUAUUUGUCUUUCCCUGUCUUACUAAUUUCACUCAGCAUAAUACCCUCCAUGUCCAUCCAUGUCAUUGCAAAUGACACGAUUUCAUUCUUUUUUAUGGCCAAGUAGUAUUCCAUUGUACAUAUAUACCACAUGCUGUUUAUCCAUUUACCCAUCAGUGAACAUUUAGGUUGUUUCCAUAUCUUGGUUAUUGUAAAUAAUGAUGCAAUAAACAUAGUGGUGCACCUGUCUUUUCAUAUUGGUGUUUUGUUUUUUUUUCCAGGUAAACACCCAGAAGUGGAAAUGCUGGAUCAUAUGAUUGUUCUAUUUUUAAUUUUUUGAGGAAACUCCGUACUGUUUUCCAUAGUGGUUGCACCAAUUUGCAUUUCCACCAACAGUAAAUGAAGGUUCUCUUUUCUCCACAUUUUGGCCAAUAGUUACUAUUUCUAGUUGUUUUGAUAAUAGCCAUUCUAACAGGUGUAAGGUAAUAAUGUCUCAUUGUGGUUUUGAUUUGCAUUUUCUUGAUUAGUGAUGAUUAGUAAUGUUGAGCAUUUUUUCGUGUGCCUGUUGCUCAUCUGUACAUCUUUGGAAAAAUGUGUAUUCAAAUCCUCUCCCCAUAUUUUAAUUGAAAAAAUAUUUUUUUUUGCUAUAGAGUUGUAGGAGUUCUGUAAUUUAUAUGUAUUUUGGAUAUUAAUCCCCUAUCAGAUAUAUGGUUUGCAAAUAUCUUCUCCCAUUCAGUAGGAUGCCUUUUCACUUUGUAGGUGGUUUCCUUCACUGUGCAAAGCUUUUUAGGGUGAUGUAGUCCCAUGUUUAUUUUUGCUUUUGGAGUCAGGUUCAAAAAAUUAUUUCCAAGAAUAAUGUCGAUGCGUAGGUUUUUUUCCUAGGAGUUUUGUGGUUUCAAGUAUCAUAUUCAAGUCUUUAAGUUAAUUAAACUCAAGUCUUUGUGUUAAUUUUUGUGUAUAGUGUGAGAGAGUGAUCCAGUUUCAUUCUUUUGCAUGUAGCUGACUAGUUUUCCCAUCUUUAUUAAAGAGGCUGUCUUUCCCCUCGUAUAUUCUUGCCUUCUUUGCUGUAAAUUAAUUGACCAUAUAUGGAGAUUUAUUCCUUGGCUUUCUAUUCUGUUCCAUCGAUCUAUGUGUCUGUUUUUGUGCCAAUACUAUACUAUUUUAAUUCCUGUGUUUGUAAUAUUAGUUUGACACCAGGGAGGGUGAUCUCUUAGCUUGUCCUUCUUUCUCAAGAUUUCUUUGGCUAUGUGGGAUAUUUUGUGGUUCCAUAUAAAUGUUAGGAUUAUUUGUUCUAUUUCUGUGAAGAAUGCCUUUGGAAUUUUGAUAGGGAUUUCACUGAAUCUGUAGAUUGCUUUGUACAUUUUAACAAUCUUCAUUCUUCCAAUCCAUGAGCAUGGAAUACCUUACCAUUUAUUUGUGUUGUCUUCAACUGCUUUCAUCAGUGUCUUAUUGUUUUCAGUAUGUAGGUUUUUUCACCUCGUUGGUUAAAUUUAUUCUUAGGUAUUUUAUUCCUUUGAUGUAAUUGUAAAAGGGAUUGCUUUUAAAAUUUCUCUUAAUUUUAUCACCCCCACCUUGCCUUUUAAAAUUUAACUGUGCCAUGUAACAUAACAUCACCACAGGAGGCAGAUUCAUCAUGUUUACAGUCCCAGGGAUUUUUCAGGGCAUGUAUACCAGGGGCCAGGAAUCUUGAGGGACAACCUUAGAACUCUGCCUAUCAUAAUAUCCAAGAGAAAAUGUUGAAUAGAAGUUUGGAUAGUCACAUUUAGAGUUCAGGAGAGAAACUUUGGGAGUCAUUGUGGUACAGAUAGUACUUAAAGCUGUGAGGCUGAGCUCACUACAAGUGACUCUAGAUAUUGAAGAGAAGAGGCUCAAAGACUGGGCUCUGGGCAAUGUUCAUCUUAAACGAUCUGGCAAAAGAGAAGAAACUAUGAAAAGGAAACUGAGAAGCGGUGAUCAGCCAGGUGGCAAGAAAUCCAAGAACGUGGUAUUCCGGAAGAUGAGUUUUAAAAAAGGAUAUCAAAUACCAAUAUCAAUUGAAUCAAUUGUAUCAAAUGCUGCUGCUCGAUCAAGUAACAUGAACAAAAAGAAUUGAUCUUUAGAUUUAGCAACAUGGAGGUCUUCAGUGACUUUGAUGAGAAUGUUUUUUUAUAGAGAGGAGAGACAGCAAGUCCGUCAAAAGUGACAUAAGACAGAAUGUGAGGAGACGAAUUUGAAAUAGUCACUCUAGACUAUGCUUUGAGAUUUGCCUUAAGGGGAGUUGUGAAAUGAUGGUAGCUUGUGCAAAGAAAAGUGGAGUCAAAGAUGGGAAUAAAAGUGUGGUUAAAGAUGGGAUAAACAACAGCAUGUUUGUAUGUUGAAGGAAAUGGUUAGUUUGAAAAGAAAAACAUUAAUAAUGCGGCAUAGAGAGGUGAGAAAUGCCGGUGUGGCCUUGAAUAGGCAGAAGACUGAAAAUCAAAUACAUAAAUGGAUGGGUCAGCUUUAGAUAAGAGCAUAGAAUGUCCUUCUAUAGUAAUUAAAAAUGAUGAUUAAUCUCAUUUUGUGUCCUUUUGCACAAAUAAAAAAAUCAAAUGUAUUUAUAAUUACCAUGUGUUUAGCACUUCACAAUUUAUGAAAUAUUUUCACACCCGUACUUUGUCUCAAUACACAUUUGAAAUAUCUUAUUUGAUUCUCACAGUGAUUCUGGGAGGUGGAACUUUUACCCUCAUUUUCCAGUAAGGACAGGUAUCGAGGAAGAUUAAAUAAAUGUCACAUUGCUCAUGGGUAGUAUUAUUAGAAUUUGGAGCGUCAGCCUAAACUUCACGUGUAGCAAUGUUUUCCAAAUUGUUGAGUUGAAAUCCUGAGUCUACACUCAGUCACUGUAUUUGGAUGUUGUUAGAUGUGUCUUACUAUCAUUUUGUACAUUGCCUUUAUCUUUCAAGCAAAUUCAGUGAAUUCUUUUAACAUUCGUCUGUAUAAUAUCUGCUUAUAUGUUUGAAAAUGAAAAGAAACUGAUUGAUGUAAUUGGAAUUUAGCUGUUCAGAUAGUGAAAGAAUAUAGUUUUUAGUUCUGACUCAAUCCUUA
rnacentral:lncRNA from 1 species